rnacentral:tRNA from 2 species
CAUAGCUCAAUGGUAGAGCAUUCGACUGUUAAUCGAAGGGUUACUGGUUCGAGUCCAGUUG